GUAGUAGCAAAUACUCUUGCGAGACCCAGGAGGGCUGAUGCGGAGAAGGGUUUCGUGUGAACAGCCGUUGCACACGAGUCAGUCGAUCCUAAGCCCUAAGAGAAGUCUGAAGUAUGUGGACAGUAGUCAGUCCCGUCGGGCGAAAGGGAAUCCGGUUCCUAUUCCGGAACCCGGUAGCGGAACCGAUCCAUUUCGGGCCCCCCGUCCUUUGCGGCGGGAAGCUCGUCGGGGUAACCCAAACUGGCCCGGAGAAGCCGUCGGGAGGUCGGGGAAGAGUUUUCUUUUCUGUUUGAGCGUUCGGGUUCCCUGGAAUUCUCUAGCAGAGAGAGAGGGAAUGGAACGCGUAGAGCACCGCAGUUGCGGCGGUGUCCCGACAUGCCCCUCGGACCUUGAAAAUCCGGGUGAGGGCCACGUGGAGGUGUCGCGCCGGUUCGUACCCAUAUCCGCAGCAGGUCUCCUAGGUGAAAAGCCUCUAGUCGGUAGAAGAAUGUAGGUAAGGGAAGUCGGCAAGUUGGAUCCGUAACUUCGGGAUAAGGAU
rnacentral:rRNA from 1 species